UAGCGUUCCUCAUGGCGGACAGAUGGCCCAAGGAGAAAUGGAGUCCCUGGCCAGUCUGAGUCGUAGCAGUGCAGGAGGGGAGACCCAGGAGGAAUAAGCCCGCCUAAAUUGAUGCCUGCACAUUGAAUUUCCAGAGGCUUAGAAGGAGGAAGCUCUCCA
rnacentral:lncRNA from 1 species